AUGCUGAAGUCUAGUCUGCUCCCCAAAAUCACUAGAACUAUAAACUUCUCUCCCCCAUCAUUGAUCGAAUCAUCCUCCGCUCAACCAUCACCGAUGGAAUCAUCCUCCGCUCCACCUCACUGUCAACGACGUCCCCUGAAUCACAUGGCAACGAUUUCACACCGUCCGUUCGCACCACCACUCCGUCACCGGAACACUCGCAGUCAUCACCGGCCACUCGUUUCAAGCCCUUAGAUAUAUCAAAAGUUUGACUUAAGGAAGAGCUGGCUAGCUGGGGGAAUUUUAGAGGCGAGGAAUCCUACAUGCUAAUUUUCCAACAAAUGGUAAGUGGUGAAAAUGUUGGAAGUCGACACAAGCUAAUGAUAUCAUGACUAUGGAAGUCUGUAACAGAUGUACAAGAUCCAUUGUGAAGCGACCGUUUUUCAUUUUUCAUCUACUGGUAUGGUUUAGUUUCAAUGUCAAAAGAAUCCUUGUAAGUUGUUGGUUUGUUUGACCUCAAAAUUCAAACUUGAUCAUUUUUCAUCUACUGGUGUGGUUUAGUUUAUUUUUGAACAACCAAAUGCAACUCUUGGAUCAUGUAUGCAGCUGGUCAAUAACUUAUUAAGACCUGCUAUCAACAACCAACAGAUUCUCUCCGAGUCUAUUUCAUUACUGGUAAGAAUCUUUCUUGAUUCUUACUGAUAUAGACAAAAAAGGGUGCGAUUAGUCUUGAGAAAUUGAGUCAGAUUGAAAAGUUGAACUUAGUUAUCAAGGAGCUCGUUAAGGAAAAAGACGAAGAAAAAGAAAGGUUCAAUGGAAUUAUUGCGGGGUUGUUGGCUGAUAAAGAAAAAGAUAAGGUGGAUAAAGAUGCUAUGCUUGAUAGGAUGUCACAAAUUGAAGCUAUGUUAACAGCUACAGUUCGAAGAUAGGCUAUAAACACUUGAUUUUGAAUGUUUAGAUGUUUAUCUUAUUAGGAUAAUUUUAGU
rnacentral:lncRNA from 1 species